AUAACCUUAUUUAUUAUUAUGUUGCUUUUAAAUUUUUGUGCCUUAGGGCUUUUAAUAAAAUAUGGUACUACAUAAGCACUGAAUUAACGAUUGAGGCAAAAAGCAUCUAUAGUAUUGGUUAAUCACCUAGUGACUCCUCAUAUAAGCCACUUUUUUUAAAUAAUUUUCUUUAACCCUUUACCGCAUCAUGUGCCAUAUAUGACCCAAACUACAAAAAUAUAAAAAUAUUGUCAAAAAUUAAGUUAUAUUCCUUUACUGCAUACUGUAUCAUAUUUGGAACGUACCCGCUUACACAGCAAAAUGUACACAUCGAUAGUAUUGUUCAAUUAUAGGACAGUUAUUUCGCGUCAGAGACUGCCGCCCGCUAUUUCAUGUUAUGCAACAGCUGAUUGAUACGUUUUGUUUGCAAGUUUUUUGUUUCUUAAAAUUAUAAUAUUAUCGAAAAAAAAUUAUUGGCAUUACGGGUGAAGUGUAAGCUGUCUUAUACGUUAUGGACACAAAGAAAUUUUAUGGUACUCUACAACAUGUAGCUAAUAUAGACUCCGAUGAAAGUGAUGAUCCAGAUUUAUCUGGCGACAAAGCUGAAAGUUGUGAAAAAUGAUCCAGAUUCAGAAUCCAACUAUUCAUCUGAUGACGAUAUGCCCCUAUUAGAAAUUCGAAAACGAAUAUUGAAUGGCACGAAGGUAAUCUAUUGAAAAACUAUAACGAAAUUCAAUUUAGAGGUUGUCAGGAUCUUCCGGAUUCGAUUCGUACGCUUGCAACUCCAGUAGAAUACUUCAAAUUCCUUUUCCCAAAAGAGCUCAUAAGUUACAUUACAGAGCAAAGUAAUUUGUAUAAUAUCCAGUGUCAACCACACAAGCCGGUCCAUACAAAAAGUCAUGAGAUUGAACAGUUCAUUGGAAUUUGCAUUUUGACUUCUCUAAUACAGUUGCCUUCUACAAGAGAUUAUUGGAAUGGUUCAUUAGGCCAUCCUGCUGUUUCUGAGGUUAUGUGCUGCAAUAGAUUUGAGACAAAAAAACACUUUAUUCAUUUUAAUGACAAUAAUCAAAUGAUCCAAAGAGGUCAACCAGGUCACGAUAAGUUAUUCAAAAUUAGACCUUUUCUUACCCAAAUAAGAGAAAGACUACUAUUGGUACCACGUGAGGAACAUCUUGCUAUAGUCAAAGUCAAAAAUAGCUUUAUUGUUACGUAACAUCAUCUGUUGUUAACAAAGCAUUAUAUAAAACCUUAAAGAUAGUUGACAACAUAAUCUUUUACCAAAAUAUAAAAAUUUUAACAAUUCUUACAUACAUAGAAUAUAGAACACACCCAAAGAAAGGGUAGUAAGAAUUCACAUUAUGCUGCGCAAAACUUUUCACUGUCAAAAAAUUGUAUUUAAAAACUUGUCUAGAGAAUAAAAUGCUUCCACUUUAUUAGCCAAUCUAGUCACAAUUUAUUAACCUUAUAUAAAGGGGUAGGUGGUUAAAAAGCCUUCUGCCCCCGUACACAAAAGAGGACUUAAUCUGCUCACUUUUUGGGAUAGGCAGAGGUAAAGAGAAGGUUGUUCGGAGAUUGUAACCCGAGGAGGGGGGGCCAAGCUGAUGGCGAUAUUUUUUGUGGAUAAGACAAACAGUCUCUAAAAUAAAAAGGCAUGACAAUGUCAGGACAUAGUGUUUUAAAAAUAAUGGCCUACAGGAGCUACGAAAGGGAGCUGCACACAUGUAGCGUAUGGCUCUUUUUUGCAAAAUAAAUAGAGAGCUGUAUAAAUACUGAGAGCAAACACCCCAAAACACAAUACCGUAUCUCAGAUGAGACUCAAUAAGAGCAUGGUAGGCAAUCAAGUCCUAGAGAAUGUGUUAUUACUCUAAUAGCAUAACAGUUGGAUGAUAACUUCCCUAUUAAAGAGGAGAUAUGAUUUUCAAAUUUUAAUUACUCAUCAAUUGUCAAGCCCAAAAAUUUGCAUGUUUCAGAAGGACUUAUUGUUUUAUUUUGCAAAGUGACAGUUCCAAGGUUACAUUUAAAAGUUAAAAUAUUAGUUUUAGAAAUAUUAAAAGUUAAUCUAUUAGAUUCACACCAUAACUUUACAAGAAUUAAAUGUUCAUCAAUGAUAUUCCUUAAUCUCUUGGUGUCAGUGUCAUGCCAAAGUAAUGUUGUAUCAUCCGUAAAGAUAGUAAAUUUGCCCCUAAUUGGAAUUUGAGAGAUAUCAUUGACAUAUAGCAGGAACAAUAUUGGUCCAAGAACAGAACCCUGGGGUACAUCAGCAUCCAUAUCCAGACGGGAUGACAUAUCAUUGUCAAAGAAUACCCUUUGUGUUCUUCCAGAUAGGUAAGAACGAAACCAGUCGAGAGCAACUCCUCUGAAUCCAUAGGUUUCUAGCUUCUGCAGCAGUAUUUUGUGACUUACACAGUCAAACGCCUUAGAUAAGUCACAGAACACCUCCGCCGCACUCUCCCCAUUUUCAAUUUUUUGGAGAGUCUGUAGAUGGGGUUGAAUCCCAUGUACAGACUCUCCAAAAAAUUGAAAAUAGCAUCAGAUAUACCCAGUUUCGUCCGGAAUCCAAAUUGCUGAUGGUUAAGAACAUUAUGCCGUUUCAGAAAUUCCAUCAUCCUAGUUUUUACCAAUCUUUCUACAAGCUUGUCAAGCGUGGGAAGUAGGGCUAUGAGUCUGAAAUUUGAUGGGUCAUCAUAGUUUUCAGCCUUAAAUAAUGGUAUAAUCAAGGCAUCCUUGAGUAAAUGUGGAAAGGACCCACUUGAAAGUGAAAUAUUUAUCACCUCAGCCAAAGAAUCAAGGGUUGGUAGCGGUAGCGCUGUUAGGACCUUUAGUGACAGCCCAUCCCAUCCAGAGGAGUUUUAUUUUUCAUUGAGGAUAGAGCUUCCAUUAUUUCACUACAAUCUGUUGGUUUAAAGAAAAAUGUUUCAGGCACCUUAAUGUUGUGUAAGUAUGAGCGCGGAUCUCUAACAGACUGAGGCAAUAAUAUUGAUAGACCCAAAGCAACACCCUGGAAAAAAUGAUUGAGUGUUUCGGCCGACACCGUGCUAUUAGAAACAGAAGGGUUCCCACGUUCGCCUCGAUAUGAAUUUGGAGUUGUCCAGGGCAAACUUUCUUAUGGAGUGCAAACAACGAAGAUGUUUACCAGAAACUAAUAGACCCCUGCUAUACCAGGGUCUUCUCGUUUUUUCCCUAAUUGUCACCAUGGGGAAAGUUGACUCAAAAACAUCCACUAAAGUUGAAUGGAAACUCUCAAAAGGGUCACCAUUGUUAAUGAACAACCUUCCGCACUUUUUUUUUCUUGAGGUACACUUUUUUUCACUUAGAAGAAAGGAACAUAAUACGGCCUCAUGAUCAGACAACCCGGCAUUUACAAUUCUACAUGCAACCUGCGUUUCACAAAGCGUAGAGCAAACAUAAUCUAAAAGUGAUGCUGAAUUAGCAGUGAUGCGAGUAGGUUGGUCAACAUGAAAAGUUAAAUUAAAAGAUUUCAGCACUCUAUGUAUUGACAAAUGAUUGUUAGAGUUAUUGCAGUCUAAAAAAUUUACAUUAAUGUCACCUGUCAAUAUUAGUGAUGCAUUUACCGAUAUUUGGCUUAAAAUGUUAUAUAAUUUAUCAAUGAAACUUUGUAAAGGCCUAAAAUGUACAAAUUUAAUUCUUUAUAAUAAACAAUGCAAAAUUCAAAAGUUUUUUCUUCCAGGAGAUACUCAAACUUGGUUAUAUCAACAAAGUUAUAUCUUUCUAAAAACUUAUUCUCUAUUAAUAUCAAAGUUCCACCAUGAUUAUACUGAGUACGAGAAUAGAUGGAUGCGAGAGCAUAACUUUCUAUAAAAAAAAAUAUAGUAAAUAAUAUAGACGAGCAAAUCAUUCCUACCAAAGCUAGAAGUCAACUAAAGCAAUAUAACCCUAAGAAACCUCACAAGUGGGGUUAUAAGAACUUCGUUCUUACGUUACAUAAAGAAGGGAUAUUGCCUUUAGGGACAGUGAGAGCCAAUCGUAUACCAUGUACAUUACCAUCUGAAAAAGAUAUGAAGAAAACUGGUCGUGGCACAAUAAAAGAAAAAAAUAUCUCACAUAGAUAAUGUGGAUAUUGUUAACUGUUAACAGUGUCAUGGUAUGAUAAUAAAGUCGUGACCACCCUUUCUACCUAUGUUGGUUCUAAACCUCGUGGUGAGAAAAAAAUAUUUUUCAAAAAAGAAAACACUCAUAAAAUGAUUGAAUGCCCUAGAAGUGUUUUUGUUUACAAUAAUUAUAUGGGAGGCGUCGACCUUCUGGAUGCCAUGUUGGGAUUUUAUAGGAUUAAAAUUCGAUCAAAGAAAUGGUAUUUACGCAUAUUUUUUCACAUGUUGGAUUUGUGUUGCGUAAAUGCUUGGUUAUUGUGGAGACGCAGCAAUAAAGAAUUUGACCUACCCCUUAAGGACUUCAAGCUGGCCAUCGCUGAUUCUUUAUGCAAUGCUAAUAAAGAAUAUAAAAGAAGAGUAGGAAGACCUUCAGCAGAGGCUCAGACAUUGUAUGCUAUAAAAAAGAAGCAUGGACCUACCAAAGAAGUUCCUCAACAAGAGGUGCGUCUUGAUGGUAUUGACCAUUUACCAGAAUGGAGUGAACAACAAAGAUCAAGAUGCAAGUUUCCAUUGUGUGAAUAUAAAUCUUUUGUGUCUUGUACGAAAUGUAAAGUUUUCUUGUGUUUUAAUAAAGACCGAAAUUGUUUUUUGAGGUUCCACACUGAAUAAAUGAUAAUGUUGUUGCAUAUUGUUCCAUAUAUAAGCAAAUAUUAAACAAACAUUUUUUUGGUAUUUUUUACAUAAAUAGAGCGUAUUCCUCCAUCCCUGGGAAUUUUUUCGAAGAAAACAAAAAAUUCAUGCAGUAAAGGGUUAAACCAAAUCUGUAGGUAUAAUAUAUUCUUAUUUAUCCGACACCCUUUAGCUUUACUGAAGUGAUACUUAUUUUCAAAAGCUCCCUAAAAUGUAAAUUGUUACCUAUACAUAUAGCAUUAAGAAAUCAAAGAGAGAAGUUUAUCAAUGAUGUCGGCGUAAUGGCAAAACCUUUAAUGAAGAGUCUUGAAUUGCAGUUUCAGGGCUUAUGUCUAAUGGGCUUCAACAAAUAUAAUGGUAAAUAUACUAUUUGUAGAUAAGACACUUGUGUCUGUUUUUGGCUAAACAAUAAAAUCUAUGGCUUUAUAUAGUUAUUCGUAUCAUUGAGUUGUUCAGAUGGUCGAACAGGGAUUAACCCUUUCUUUACCGCACAUAAACAUCAUUACAUCGCCCCUAUUCCCAGACUUUUUGACAAGCCUUAAGCCCCAGUCACGUAUUAAUACGUCACACAGGGAACAACUUCUUAGUAUAAAACCUUUGUGUGAUAUACACCGAAACAGGGAGCGACACACUAUCCAACGUUGCACAUAUAUCUGGAAUCUCGUCUCUUUUUUUUCUCCCGAGUUUUAGAUUGUGAACAAAGAAUGCAUCUUCAAACUUUGUUGUUUGGUAUGAUAGCAGAAAAAUGACGCUCCGUAAGACGCUGUUGAUUUGGAGCAGUGGACUUUGUUGAUGCAGUUUUUGCUACAUUAUAUCUGAAAUAAAAUCGGUUGCAAACAAUAUGGAAAUUUCUAAAAUAAUAAUUUACCUCUCAAGAAGUUGUCGAGUAAGAUGCAGUUGAAAAUCUGCUAGUGGUAACUUUUCUGGAUGUUCAGUUAGAAUCAUGCGCGGUUGUUUAAAACACAUAGAUCCAAAAUGUGAAACAAGAGCUUCUUGUACCAUUUUAAAGUUUUUCUGACGCAUUCUGUAGAACUUCAUCAUAUGAGUUCUAUGAAGUGCUCCCAUAUUUUAGUUAUAAUAAUAUAGGCCCAUAUUCUGUUUUUCUGUCUUUUUUAUUUAACUGUUUCAUUUUAUUUUUGUGGAACAUGUCAACAUGGUAACGUCCCUACGAUCCUUCCAUCGGAUGGCUAAAAUAUUUUCGCUAGCCUUAGAUGUUGUCUGACCCUUGUCCAAUCUCCCUGUUAGAUCCGGCAUAUGCUUUCUGUUUGUCCUAACUGUAUCACAUGUGUUUUAUUUUCAAAUAAAUAGGUAGAAGGAGCUGGUGAAUACCAAUUACCAGUAUAGUUCAAAUAAGAUUGCAUUAAUGUUGUUACAACUGACCCUGAUAUGCCAAGAUUGAGACGAUUUUGAGUCUGUAUAUACGAUACAAUUUAAAACGUACCCCGUCUCACAAUCACACAAAAGGAACAGUUUUAUGCUAAAACUUUUUAUGCCGUUUCAUUCAUAUAAACUGCUUGAAUAACAGGCGUCCUUUAAAAAGCAUUCAACUCUCAUCGAUUACCAAAUUCUGGAACGGAACAAAAUUGUGGGCAAACCUAGUUUUAAUUUUGUCGAAAAUCCCCCUAUCUUUGUGGAAAGAGUCGCCUUUAGUUUAUUGGGCAUUGUCUGCAAAAUGAAGGAUGCGUAAUAUUAUUUGAUAUCUGUUUCUAGAUAUCACUUCCAAAAUAUCAGAGUGUAUAGUAGUUCAUCGGUAGUUUUCCCCAUAAUAUGUAUUUCUAGCUGUGGUAAUAAAUAACUAUGGUAUGUAUUUCUUAAGCAUCCAGUAAAACUGAUCAAGUUGUAUUUCUCAGCAAAAAAACUAUAUUGCUGAGUCUCCCACAUAUUUUACUAUUGUGUAUAUCCUACUUUUGAGUGCUGGUGAAUCACCAAAACUUUUACAGAGCCAUCUUGGAUUUGGUUACUAAAAGGGUAAAUACAAUUUUCUGCAUUUUGUCUACUAACUUUACAAUCCAACCACAGAUAUAAAACAAAAAAAAAAUAAUUAAAAAAAAAACUGGUACUUUUUCUUGCUUAGUGGGUAUACAAUGUUAUCAAACUAUUUAUAU